rnacentral:tRNA from 1 species
GCAUUGGUGGUUCAGUGGUAAAUUCACGGGGAGGCCCGGGUUCGAUUCCCGGCCAAUGCA